UUUCCGUAGGUGAACCUGCGGAAGGAUCAUUAAAAAAUUGGACUCCAUUGGUGAGUUCAUUAAUAAUCCCUACCCUUUGUGAAUUUGUUUGUUUGAAUAAUUUUUUUUCCAAAAAAAAUUAUUGAAUGUCUUUCCUUGUUUUGGUGGAGCUUGUAAAGUGAAACCAGGCAGGGGAAUGGCAAACAAUAAUUAUUUUUGAAAAAGACCUUUUUUUAAAAUUAAACUUUUUGUAUUCAUUUGUCUAAAAUUAAUUUUUAUAAUAUAAAAACAACUUUUGACAAUGGAUCUCUUGGUUCUCGCAACGAUGAAGAACGCAGCAAAAUGCGAUAAGUAGUGUGAAUUGCAGAAUACGUGAAUCAUCGAAUCUUCGAACGCAUAUUGCACUUUUUUAGUUUACUAAAAAAGUAUGUCUGUUUGAGUAUCAGUAAAAUAUUCUCAUAAAAAACAUUGUUUUUUUUAUGGUUAUGAGUGUUUUACAACGAUAACAAGUUGUUUCACUUUAAAUUCUUUGUUAUCAAAAAAAUCAUUAAAAGCUAAUUUUAAAGAUUUUUUAAAAUUGGAUAAAAUUUUCCCGUAAAAAGGAAUAACCUAAACAAUUUUAAAAAAUUAAAAUUGGUUUGAUUUUUUUUGAAACCCAAAGGAAAAAAAAACGAAAUUAACUUGAUCUCAAAUCAGAUAAGAGUACCCGCUAAACUUAAGCAUAUCAAUAAGCGGAGGAAAAGAAACUAACUAGGAUUCCCUCAGUAACGGCGAGUGAAGCGGGAAGAGCUCAAAUUUGAAAUCUUCAAGGUUUUACCUUGACGAAUUGUAGUUUAAAGAAGUGUUUUCUGUUGGAGUUUUGGUAAAAGUUCUUUGGAAAAGGACAUCAUAGAGGGUGAGAAUCCCGUAUUUGACCAUUAUCUCCAGCUUUGUGAUACACUUUCAAAGAGUCGGAUUGUUUGGGAAUGCAGUCCAAAAUGGGUGGUAAAUUUCAUCUAAAGCUAAAUACUGGCGAGAGACCGAUAGCGAACAAGUACCGUGAGGGAAAGAUGAAAAGAACUUUGAAAAGAGAGUUAAACAGUACGUGAAAUUGUCAAAAGGGAAGCGUUUGACACCAGUGUUGUUUUCUCGAAAAUCAAUUAAAAAAGGCCGGAUUUUGUGUUGUAUUGACUUUAUCAGCUUUCUGCACUCUUUUCUUGUCUUUUUUAAUGCACUUUUCGUUUAACAAGUCAACAUCAAUUUCUUUUGUUGUAAAAGGGUCAUUGGAAGGUGGCUUUCUUUUCGGAGAAAGUGUUUAUAGCCUUUGGCCUCUGCAAUCGGAGAGAUUGAGGUCUGCAGCGUAGAUCCUUCGGGGUUAGAUACAUUUGUGCUAAGUUAUAGCCUUUCAUAGACAACUUGUUGACUAUGAUCAGUCAUGUAGCUUACUCGCUUAUGCUAUUU
rnacentral:misc_RNA from 1 species